GACGAACGCUGGCGGCGUGCUUAACACAUGCAAGUCGAACGGAAAGGCCCUGCUUGCAGGGUACUCGAGUGGCGAACGGGUGAGUAACACGUGGGUGAUCUGCCCUGCACUUCGGGAUAAGCCUGGGAAACUGGGUCUAAUACCGGAUAGGAGCCAUUUUUAGUGUGAUGGUUGGAAAGUUUUUUCGGUGUAGGAUGGGCUCGCGGCCUAUCAGCUUGUUGGUGGGGUAAUGGCCUACCAAGGCGGCGACGGGUAGCCGGCCUGAGAGGGUGGACGGCCACAUUGGGGCUGAGAUACGGCCCAGACUCCUACGGGAGGCAGCAGUGGGGAAUAUUGCACAAUGGGCGCAAGCCUGAUGCAGCGACGCCGCGUGGGGGAUGACGGCCUUCGGGUUGUAAACUCCUUUCGCUAGGGACGAAGCUUUUUGUGACGGUACCUAGAUAAGAAGCACCGGCUAACUACGUG
rnacentral:rRNA from 1 species